GGUUGAUCCUGCCAGUAGUGAUAUGCUUGUUUCAAAGAUUAAGCCAUGCAUGUCUAAGUAUAAGCGAACUUAUACAGUGAAACUGCGGAUGGCUCAUUAAAACAGUUUGAAUUUAUUUGAUGAAUGUAUGAGAAUACUACUUGGAUAACCGUAGUAAUUCUAGAGCUAAUACAUGCAACGACGCCCGACCGUUUCACUACGGAAGGGCUGUAUUUAUUGGAUACCGAAACCAUCCUUCCCUCGGGAAGUUUUGUUUGAUGAUUCACAAUAACUGAUCGGAUCGCCACUGUGGUGGCGACAGGUCAUUCAACAUUCUGCCCUAUCAGCUUUCGAUGGUUGUGUAGUGGACAACCAUGGCCAUAACGGGUAACGGAGAAUCAGGGUUCGAUUCCGGAGAAGGAGCUUGAGAAUUGGCUACUACAUCUAAGGAAGGCAGCAGGCGCGCAAAUUACCCAAUCCCGAUUCGGGGAGGUAGUGACAAAAAAUAACAAUACCGGGCCUUUUUGGGCUUGGUAAUUGGAAUGAGGGAGAGUUAAACGGACCAUCGAGUAUCCAUUGGAGGGCAAGUCUGGUGCCAGCAGCUGCGGCAAUACCAGCUCCAAUAGCGUAUAUUAAAGUUGUUGCAGUUAAAAAGCUCGUAGUUGGACUUGUGUGCGCUGUCCGCGGGCGGCCUGCGCCCAAAAGGGCGUUUCGGUUCGGCCCCGGUGGCGCCUUGAAAUCUGCAGCUGGGGGGACGUUGGCCUUAACUGGUCGGCGACCGCACGCCGGCUGCUCGGUUACUGUGAGAAAAUUAGAGUGUUCAAGGCAGGCAUUGGGUGCAAUUGAAUACAUUAGCAUGGAAUAAUAAAAUAUGGCUCCUGCCGUAUUUUGUUGGUUUUGACUGGUGGGAGUAAUGAUUGAUAGGGACGGUUGGGGGUGCUAGUAUUGAGCGGCCAGAGGUGAAAUUCAUGGAUUCGCUCAAGACUAACUUAUGCGAAAGCAUUCACCAAGGACGUCCUCUUUAAUCAAGAACGAAAGUUGGGGGAUCGAAGACGAUCAGAUACCGUCGUAGUCUCAACCAUAAACUAUGUCGACUUGGGAUCGGCGGUAGUUUUUUCAUUAAGACACUGUCGGGACCACGGGAGAAAUCAAAGUGUCUGGACUCUGGGGGAAGUAUGGUCGCAAGGCUGAAACUUGAAGGAAUUGACGGAAGGGCACCACCAGGAGUGGAGCCUGCGGCUUAAUUUGACCCAACACGGG
rnacentral:rRNA from 1 species